ACAUUUCAUAGUUGGGUUACAAAAUGUAAUGUAAUAAUUAAUAGAGAUUCAAUUAUCUGCAGUCCCACGCUUUGUGUAAGCGUUCGCAUUUUUUAGCUUGUGCAUUUAGCCCUACACCUGAAUUAGUCAUCACACUUCUUGCACCAAAAACAUCCGUUAAGAACUAGUACUAGUAAUCCUUUCGGUCUAAGCUAGUUGUCUACUAAAUAUCUCCCGAAAUUGUAUCGCUCAGAAUCUUUUUAUUUCAUCAUUGCACUGGAUCAUUGCAUUAUGAACUCUGUUCAAAAUAAAUUAAAAAGAAUUAGAUAUAGCUGAAUUAAAAGCUUCUAGCCAAGGUUUAAUGUAAACAUUAAAAAAAAAUUAGUCCUUAGAAUCAUGAAAUGUAUAGUAAAAUAAUGCUGAAAUCAUAGUAAGUGAAUUUAAUCCAAAAGGUUAACACUAAAGUUUGAAAAAAAUAAAAUUAUAUUCUUUUGAACAAAAAUUACCCGAAUAAAAUAAUGUGCAUCACACAA